UGAUAAACCGGAGGAAGGUGGGGAUGACGUCAAGUCAUCAUGGCCCUUACGAGUAGGGCUACACACGUGCUACAAUGGCGUAUACAAAGAGAAGCGACCUCGCGAGAGCAAGCGGAACUCAUAAAGUGCGUCGUAGUCCGGAUUGGAGUCUGCAACUCGACUCCAUGAAGUCGGAAUCGCUAGUAAUCGUAGAUCAGAAUGCUACGGUGAAUACGUUCCCGGGCCUUGUACACACCGCCCGUCACACCAUGGGAGUGGGUUGCAAAAGAAGUAGGUAGCUUAACCUUCGGGAGGGCGCUUACCACUUUGUGAUUCAUGACUGGGGUGAAGUCGUAACAAGGUAACCGUAGGGGAACCUGCGGUUGGAUCACCUCCUUA
rnacentral:rRNA from 1 species